rnacentral:antisense_RNA from 1 species
GUUGCGGGGCCGUCAGGUGGGCAAAACCCCAGCGAGGGGAAGCUCCAGGAUCGUUGCAGUGCCAUUUCUAGGUCCCUCCUCCUCUCCCCACUUCCCUUUUCUCUGCACCCAUUUGACAGGAGCCUCUGCAAUCAUCUGCUUAUUGCGCGUCACCGUCAUCCACUGGGAGAGCCUUGUGGUACCACCUUUCUCCACCUAUGGCUGCGGCCCGCAGGAAGAUGACGGGUUGCGCUUCUGCUCUGGAGCCAGCCCUGUUGCCGGGAACUGCAACCCGCAAGAUGAUGCCAGAGCUCAGCUUCCCUCUUUUUAUGUUGCAGAGUUUAUGCUGCCCUGCACUGAGCAGACGCUUUCGCUUACGCAGCCCUGCCCUUCACCUUGCCCAGUGAUUCCGGAAUAACCUUCCGGACCCUCCUACUUGCAGAGCUUCAUUGCUUCAAGCGUCAUAAUCAUUCAUCUGCGUUUUUCCUCUAGUGAUGAAGGCUCGUGGACCGACCACGGUUCACUCGGUCUAGGAGUCAUGCUGUUGAUCAGGUUGUCAGACAUCAAAAUUCCCAUCUCCCAUCAGGGCACAGCUAUAGGGCUCUGGGUCAAAACAGGGCCUUCUCUUUUGUCUGGUAGCACCAGAAACACGGUAAUAGGGAACCCAUCAGGAAUGGAAGGCUCCUUGAGGCCCUGGAGAUGGAAGGUUGGGCCCCCAAGUCCUGAAAGGGACCAGUGGGCUGUAAUCUUCACAAUCUGGAUCCAGCCAGAAGAGCACUGAGAGCUCAGUGUUUGGAGGACAAAAAAGGGCAAUGGAUAUACAGUAACUUAGUGAAUCAGGGCCCGGAUCCAGGAAGAUGCCUGACAUUUGUUUAUCAGCAGAGAAACAGAAGUAAAGGAGGGGAACCUCCUCCUAAGUGUUACUGUGUUAUGAAAGUGUCCUUCAGGGAGAGGCGACAUGAACAGGGCAGCUGAUAACAUUGAUACUGUGCAGGCACACAUCUCCCCACAUUCCCCAGGCUGCUGAACCAAGUGUACCAAACUAAUCGCAAGGACACAGCUUUGAGCCUCCCCGGCAGCAGUCCCUGGAGGGAGUCCGCUCAGACAAAGCAAAGCGCGCUCCCAGAGGGGAGGGGUGGCCACUUUUUCUUUGUUCUCCCUUGGAAAAUGGGCUGUCUCUUAAGUCUCGUAAACCAGCUGCUUUCACUUCUUGCAGGAGGUCGCGAUAAAUUAAUCACCAAUCAUGUUUGGACAGCAUAGUUUUGAAGCCCUCAACUCUGUGAAAUGCAGGGUCAAACUAUUUUUAGAAUUUUAACAUGCCGUUAAGUUUGUAUUCUGAGUUUCCCAACAAAAAUUUCAGAAAUGUGCCCCACUUUGAAAAAAUAAAAUAAAAAGAACACCUCCAGAAAAAAGGUGG